UACGAAGGGGGCUAGCGUUGCUCGGAAUGACUGGGCGUAAAGGGCGCGUAGGCGGUUUGUACAGUCAGGUGUGAAAUGCCCGGGCUCAACCUGGGGGCGGCACUUGAUACGUAUGGACUGGAGUGGGGAAGAGGGUCGUGGAAUUCCCAGUGUAGAGGUGAAAUUCGUAGAUAUCAGGAAGAACACCCGUGGCGAAGGCGGCUCUCUGGGACGGUACUGACGCUGAGACGCGAAAGCGUGGGGAGCGAACAGG
rnacentral:rRNA from 1 species